rnacentral:rRNA from 1 species
AACGGCUGAACCAGCAACUUGGAAGAAUGUAUAGCGAAAGCUAAUUGCAUUAUUUGGUUUUAAUUAAAUUAGUGCAAUAUCGACUGUGUCGAAUAAAGUUCUAAAUAGAGUAAUGAUAAUGACACGUUCUAUUUAUUUGUCUUGACCAAUUCACGUGCCAGCAGUCGCGGCAACACGUGUAAGACUAGUGUUAUUCAUCUUUAAUAGGUUUAAAGGGUACUUAGACGGUAAAUCAAGCCCCUAUAGGGUACUAAUUUACUAGAGUUUUAUAGGAGAGGGGGAGUACUACUGGUGUAGAGAUGAAAUUUUGUGAUACCAUUAUUGGAACUGUCAACGGCGAAAGCAACCCUUUAUGUAUAAACUGACGUUGAAAGACGAAGGCUCGGUCAACUAACAGGAUUAGAUACCCUAGUAGUCCAGGCAGACAAUGAUGAAUGUCAUAGGCUAGAAACAAUAUUUUGCCUAUAAAUGAAAGUGUAAGCAUUCCACCUCAAGAGUAAUGCGGCAACGCAUAAACUGAAAUCAUUAGGCCGUUUCUGAAACCAGUAGUGAAGUAUGUUGUUUAAUUUGAUGAUCCGCAAAAAACCUUACCACAAUUUGAAUAUUUUUAUUUUUAUAAAAAUACAAGCGUUGCACGGCUGUCUUCAGUUAAUGUCGUGAGAUUUUGGUUAGUUCCAUAAAAUUAACGUAAACCCUUACUUUAUUUAUUUUUAUAGAGUAGUUCACCGCUAUAUUGGAUAUGAUAAAAGGGACUAUGACAAGUCAUCAUGACCUGA